AUUAAACAAUCCGACACCACACACCGUAGGAAGCUUAACACACUGCGGUUACAGCAGUUCGGUGCAUAUACAUCCGCAACCUCAGUAACCACGGAAUACAAAUGGAUCUGAAGCUAAGGAAAAAACGAGAAUGUCCAAAGUGUCUAAAAACGUUUAAAACGAAUCACACAUUGACUAGACACAUCAUCACGCACGAUCCAGAUGCCAAGGUCAAGUGUGAGGUUUGUGGCGAAAUUUCAAAAAACAAACGCACCUUAUCUUACCACAUGUCAAGUUUUCACACCAACCAAAAGCGACCCAGUUGUGACACUUGUCACCGGGAGUUUUCCAGUUCGUCUUACUUACGGCGACAUAUUGACGCCCUUCACAGCACGAUGGAUCGACCUCGCUUCCCAUGUACGUUUCCCGGAUGUGAGAAAAUCUACUUAAAUAAGAGAGAUCUUUCGCAACACGUGAAAUAAGAACACGCCGAGAAUCCGGUCCGAUACCCGUGCACACUUUGCGGAAAGGAAUUUAAAACGAGGGCUGACCUUGAGAAACAUAUUCCCACCCACACGACGGAGAAGCCGUACAAUUGUCCCACUUGUGGGAGGAGUUUCGCCCAUAUGAGAAGUAUGAAGGUUCAUGAGAUGACGCAUUUGAAAAAAUCUACACGAGACGUGGUCCACUGUGCCGUCUGUCCUCAGAUCUUUGUGAGUAGGGCUGGUCUACAUAGCCACAUCCGAGUGGUGCAUGAAAAUCAGAGGAAUUAUCCGUGCGCAUUUUGUGACAAAAGAUUCUCCAUCUCAUCAAAUUUAAAAGCUCACGUGGAGGCGAUACACCCCACGAAUAAAGAACUGGUCCAUUCCUGCGACAAAUGCGCGUACAAGAGCCACUCCAAACGCUAUUUGGCCAACCACGGAAUACGUCACAUUGCAGCGAAGCAUGGAUGUUAUUUUUGUGUGAAGAGAUUCCACACUUUUAACGAAUUGGUAAGACAUUGUGGUCGAGUUCAUACUCUAGAAAAAUUAAAAUUCUUUCGUUUGUAAUGAGCAUGCCAAUAUUUCAAGUAUUGUGACUAUCUGUAGAGUUGCGACGUGUUUGUAGUAAAACUUUGUGGGAGAAUGAAAUGGGAUUUCGUUAACUAGUUAUGUAGUAUGUAUGUACAUACCUAUUAACUGGACAUGUUAUUUUAUACAUUAGGGAAAUACAAGUGAAAAGUCCUGUUGGGACAAAUAAAGG